ensembl:lncRNA
UAGAUAGAUAGAUAGAUAGACAGAUAGAUAGAUAGAUAGAUAGAUAGAUAGAUAGAUAGAUAGAUAGACAGAUAGAUAGAUAGAUAGACAGAUAGAUAGAUAGAUAGAUAGAUAGAUAGAUAGAUAGAUAGACAGAUAGAUAGAUAGAUAGACAGAUAGAUAGAUAGAUAGAUAGAUAGAUAGAUAGAUAGAUAGAUAGACAGACAGACAAGCAAACAUGUAAAUAAAUAAAUAAAUAAAUAAUGCUGAAUAUUGCAUGAAAUUAUCUACACUCUAAAAACAAAUGUUUAGGCUCAAAAAAAAUGAACACAACAGUUAAUUAUCGACAACUUGUAAUGAAAUUAUGUUCAACAAACAAGUUACAAUCAGUUGAGAGAAAUUACUUCUCCCUCUACAAUCAAAGGUAUUUCAAAUGAACGCUUCAUUGAUCAUUUUAGCAUAGACGAGUCGUUAAGUCGGUUACUCGUAAAAAUCGAGUUGUGCCAACGAGUUUUUUUCACAUCAUUUAAGAGGAAUUGUUAAGUGUUGUGUAUUUAAUUAUCAUAAUUGUGAAUUAUUGACAAUCGUUAAAAAAAAUUAAGUUGCUCCAAUUAGAUUUUCUUCAGUAGAUUUUUUUUUUUUUUAGCUUUUUCAUGUUUUUGUUCAUUUCGUAGCUUUUAAGAAGUUGAUUCAUUCAACAGUAAUAUUGCUGAACAACUAACUUUUUAUUUUAUUUCAUUUUGAACUGCAGUUGUGUAUUUAAACACACCAUAUUCAAGGACACAAUAAAUCUUGAAGAAUAAAAA